CAGCAAUGACCUCGCGCGGUUGGAUGGACCGAUGUUCGAUUAGCUUGUUGGUGGGGUAAUGGCCUACCAAGGCGACGAUCGAUAGCUGGUCUGAGAGGAUGAUCAGCCACACUGGGACUGAGACACGGCCCAGACUCCUACGGGAGGCAGCAGUGGGGAAUAUUGGACAAUGGGCGCAAGCCUGAUCCAGCAAUGCCGCGUGUGUGAAGAAGGCCUUCGGGUUGUAAAGCACUUUUAUCAGGAGCGAAAUACCACGGGUUAAUACCCUAUGGGGCUGACGGUACCUGAGGAAUAAGCACCGGCUAACUUCGUGCCAGCAGCCGCGGUAAUACGAAGGGUGCAAGCGUUAAUCGGAAUUACUGGGCGUAAAGCGUGCGUAGGUGGUUUUUUAAGUCUGCUGUGAAAUCCCCGGGCUCAACCUGGGAAUGGCAGUGGAUACUGGAAAGCUAGAGUGUGAGAGAGGAUGGUGGAAUUCCCGGUGUAGCGGUGAAAUGCGUAGAGAUCGGGAGGAACAUCAGUGGCGAAGGCGGCCA
rnacentral:rRNA from 1 species